ensembl:lncRNA
GAAACCCUUACCAAGGAACUCCUUCUUUACCUCCUGUGUAACAGAGGAGACUGGAACGCUCUGUUUUAUUUCCUGAUGCUCAGUUUUAAAAAUAGCAUUCUGUUCUCUUUUUCAUGGAUGCGGUAUUUUUUAUUUUACUUCUGAUAGUAAUAUUUUGAACAUUUCUUCUCCCUGCUUUGGUGACUUUUAUUUCUUCUGAGGUGACUUAUCCAUUUACUUGUUUGUUUUGAUCCGUAUCUUUCAAGGUAGACAUCAUAUUCUUCUGAGAAAGCUCUUCUGAUCGCCUGACAAGCUAUUUUUAAGCCCGACUUUCCACCUUUGUGAAGUACAAGGGCAAGAAUGUUGCCAUUUCCUUCUCCAGAGGAGCUUCCUGACCCAGGGAUCAAACCUGCAUCUCCAGCCCUGGCAGGACAGCACAGAAGUGCGGCAUAGAGGAGCUACCCCAUGCCCAAGGAGCAGCAGCUGUGUGUGCGCAGGAGGUCCGAGAGGAGCUACUCCACCUUCAGGAUCAGGAGGGGCAACCUAUUCCAAGGUAAGGAGCAGUGGCUGUGCUUUCCUGGAGCAGCUGUGAAGAGAUAUCCCAUGUCCAAGGUAAGAGAAAUCCAAGUAAGAUGGUAGGUAUUGCGAGAGGGCAUCAGAGGGCAGACACACUGAAACCAUAAUCACAGAAAACUAGCCAAUCUGAUCACACAGACCAGCCUUGUGUAACUCAAUGAAACUAAGCCAUGCUGUGUGGGGCCCCCAAG